rnacentral:rRNA from 1 species
AUUGAACACUGGCGGCAGGCUUAACACAUGCAAGUCGAGCGGGGUGAUGGUGCUUGCACUAUCACUUAGCGGCGGACGGGUGAGUAAUGCUUAGGAAUCUGCCUAUUAGUGGGGGACAACAUCUCGAAAGGGAUGCUAAUACCGCAUACGUCCUACGGGAGAAAGCAGGGGAUCACUUGUGACCUUGCGCUAAUAGAUGAGCCUAAGUCGGAUUAGCUAGUUGGUGGGGUAAAGGCCUACCAAGGCGACGAUCUGUAGCGGGUCUGAGAGGAUGAUCCGCCACACUGGGACUGAGACACGGCCCAGACUCCUACGGGAGGCAGCAGUGGGGAAUAUUGGACAAUGGGGGAACCCUGAUCCAGCCAUGCCGCGUGUGUGAAGAAGGCCUUAUGGUUGUAAAGCACUUUAAGCGAGGAGGAGGCUCUUUUGGUUAAUACCCAAGAUGAGUGGACGUUACUCGCAGAAUAAGCACCGGCUAACUCUGUGCCAGCAGCCGCCGUAA